rnacentral:tRNA from 1 species
CUCCUUGUAGCUCAGUGGAUAGAGCAUCCGCCUUCUAAGCGGAGAGUCGUUGGUUCGAACCCAACCAGGGAGG